UAUCGCUUUUUUAGUCACUUUAUUUAUGAAUAUACCAUCAGUUGUACUACAGAGUCUGUAGUACAGACUUAACUUGCUAUAGAGUCGUAGACACAUACAAUUUUACAAACGAGGAUAAUCAAGAAUUCUUUGUUUUAAUGAGAUCAUCUCUGACGACGUGUAUCUUUUCAUCACAUUGAAAAAUACAUCUCGUGGGUAAGCCUGUUUGUGAGGACGCGACUUCCUAACCUCAAUGCGUCGUCGUUGAUAUUGAACAUUGGUUUUCUUGCUUGUUAAAUAAGAGACUUUGAUUCCUUGUGUGUUUUAACAAAGCGACAAUGUCGUACUUGUCGCGCAAGGAGAUGGACGAGCUAAGGCCGCAAAUCGAGAAGGCGGUCAGCAGGUGCUUGGGCUUCACCGAGUCAGCAAUCGUCACCACCGCCGUCAACUGCCUCGCCUCGGGAUACGACAGACGUAAAACCACUGACAAAUUGUCAGCACUCUUGGAUGAUAGGAAGGCAACCAAGGUAGCGGAAAAAAUAUAUGCUGUCUAUGAUGACAUGAAGGCUGCCCAAAAAGCAAAAAAGAGGUCAUACGAUGAUAGAAGUAAGGACAGAGAUAAAGAUAGAGAUUCCAAAAAGCUAAAGCUCAAAGAGGACGACUCAAAGGGCAAGGCUGUUAAUAAUUCCUCAAAAGAGAAGGGCGGCUUCAACAUCGGCAAUGUCAUGGCCAAUGCUCAAAAGCAGAUCGAAGAAAGGAAAAAGGCCCUUAAGGUAGUAAAGCCUGAUCUAGACUCUGUAAGGCCCUUAAUUAGAAAUUCAGAAUCUCUAGUUUCUUCUAUAGGCACAGUUUACAAUCAAGGUUUCUUGAAGAAGACCGAUUCCGAAAGGGCUAGAAAAAUUGCCGCUCUGCAGAUGCAAAUUCAAAGCAAAUUAAAAUCCGGGCUGCUUGGUAAUGCGCAGAGUGCAGACAAGCCCAAGCCCCUGAUUCUCGAUGAGUCUGGCAGGAUUGUUGACAUCACUGGUAAAGAAGUUCACUUGACCCAUGUGGUUCCAACGUUAAAAGCUAAUAUCCGUGCUAAAAAGAGGGAAGAGUUCAAGGCUCAGAUGCAAGACUCCAAAGGCACCGAAGAAUUUCAGGAAACACACUUCUUUGACAACCGCAUUGGCGUAAAGUCGUCGGUCAGAAAUAAACGUGCUCUGAAAUUUCACGAACCCGGUAAGUUUGUCCAACUGGCUGAGAGGAUACGCAUGAAAGCUCAAUUGGAAAAGUUGCAAAAUGAAAUCAGCCAGAUCGCGAGAAAAACCGGUAUUAGCGCCUCAACAAAGUUAGCUCUAAUAGCACCCAAAACCGAGGCUCUUAGCGAAGAUGUACCAAAUAUCGAAUGGUGGGACUCUGUGAUUCUCAACAAGGAGUACAAUAAUGAUUCCAACGACAUUAUGAGUUGCAUUAACAUCUCGACAAUCACAAAUUUGGUUGAGCAUCCAGCUCAGAUGAGACCACCGACGGAGCCGACCAAGCCAAUCGAGAUCCCUGUCUUUCUCACAAAGAAAGAGCGUAAGAAGCUCCGCCGGCAAAAUCGCCGAGAGGCCUGGAAGGAAGAACAAGAAAAGAUCCGUUUGGGUCUCGAGCCACCACCAGAGCCGAAACUCCGCAUCUCAAAUCUUAUGCGCGUUCUUGGUACCGAAGCCGUGCAAGAUCCCACAAAAAUCGAAGCUCACGUACGCCAGCAGAUGGCCAAGAGAUUGAAAGCUCACGAGGAUGCAAACGCUGCUCGAAGACUCACUGCCGAUCAGAGACGAGAGAAGAAAGCUCGUAAGCUGAAAGAGGACACGUCGCUGGGAGUCCAUGUGGCUGUGUUCCGCAUCCGCGACCUCAUUAACAAUGCCUCAAAGAAGUUCAAGGUCGACGCUAACGCCAAACAAUUAUACCUUACGGGCUGUGUCAUGCUUUUCCGUGAUUGCAAUGUCGUUGUGGUUGAAGGUGGUAUCAAACAGAUAGCCAAGUACAAGCGACUGAUGUUGCGUAGGAUCAAGUGGGAGGAAGACACGGUAAAAGAUAUGGAUGGCAAAGACGUUCCAAACAAAUGUGUGCUCGUUUGGGAGGGUAUGAGCAAACAGCGACACUUUGGUGAAAUAAAAUUCAAGACCAUUCCCAUAGAGAGAGAAGCUCGCGAGCACUUUAAGAAACACCACGUUGAACAUUACUGGGACUUGGCUUACAGCGGUGCUGUGUUAGAUAAUACCGACGAAGUGGCUAUCUAGAGUGUACAAUUAUCAGUCAUUUUAAUUUAAUUUCGAAUUUAGAUAUAGUAUGCAAAAAAUAAAUGAACCAAGUAUUUGUAUGCCAGGGUACAGCAUCUAUUUGCACAAGUUAGAAUUUUCUCGUUUCAGCUAUAUGAUCUAACUUGAAGCACUUGAGAAAGUAAAGAAGACGAUGCGCCGCUGGAUAAUCAAGGAGCCUAGUAAUCCACAGCCGUGAGAAGAUAAUGAGGGAGCAGAGUUUUGAAUUUUUUAUGCCCCUCAUCGAAGGCUUAUCAGUCACGAGACACACCAGAGAAAGAAAAAAAAGAGACAGAGAGAGAGAGAGAGAGAAACAUGAAGCCUCUCCCUCUAUCCUCGGCCUUUCUAAAGCGUGCAGUUGGCGUCACGCGCGCGUAGCAUGGAAAGGCAAGAGAGGAUUCCCAUCAAGGACGUUUUCUAGUAAAAUAUCUUUCCACUCAAUUUUUCCCUGUAAAUAUAUGCAAUUGUUUACCGAGCCCCUACCCAGAUCGCAACACGAUUAUUCAAUUUUGACGAUGACUAGUUACUAUCAGGUGGAUAUUUCUACCGUACUUUUUUAUUUUGUCUUUUUUUUCUCUUUUGUUUUUAAUUAAUUCACCGAAAAAUUAUGGCUGCACUUGAAUCGGCCAGUUUUGUGUAUAUUUGUAACG
rnacentral:misc_RNA from 1 species